rnacentral:rRNA from 1 species
AGCGGCGGACGGGUGAGUAAUGCUUAGGAAUCUGCCUAUUAGUGGGGGACAACAUUCCGAAAGGGAUGCUAAUACCGCAUACGCCCUACGGGGGAAAGCAGGGGAUCUUCGGACCUUGCGCUAAUAGAUGAGCCUAAGUCGGAUUAGCUAGUUGGUGGGGUAAAGGCCUACCAAGGCGACGAUCUGUAGCGGGUCUGAGAGGAUGAUCCGCCACACUGGGACUGAGACACGGCCCAGACUCCUACGGGAGGCAGCAGUGGGGAAUAUUGGACAAUGGGCGGAAGCCUGAUCCAGCCAUGCCGCGUGUGUGAAGAAGGCCUUUUGGUUGUAAAGCACUUUAAGCGAGGAGGAGGCUCUUAAGGUUAAUACCCUUGAUGAGUGGACGUUACUCGCAGAAUAAGCACCGGCUAACUCUGUGCCAGCAGCCGCGGUAAUACAGAGGGUGCGAGCGUUAAUCGGAUUUACUGGGCGUAAAGCGUGCGUAGGCGGCUGAUUAAGUCGGAUGUGAAAUCCCUGAGCUUAACUUAGGAAUUGCAUUCGAUACUGGUCAGCUAGAGUAUGGGAGAGGAUGGUAGAAUUCCAGGUGUAGCGGUGAAAUGCGUAGAGAUCUGGAGGAAUACCGAUGGCGAAGGCAGCCAUCUGGCCUAAUACUGACGCUGAGGUACGAAAGCAUGGGGAGCAAACAGGAUUAGAUACCCUGGUAGUCCAUGCCGUAAACGAUGUCUACUAGCCGUUGGGGCCUUUGAGGCUUUAGUGGCGCAGCUAACGCGAUAA